CGCAGCCGCGGUAAUUCCAGCUCCAAUAGCGUAUAUUAAAGUUGCUGCAGUUAAAAAGCUCGUAGUUGAAUUUCGGGACUGAUAUGUCGGUCGUGCCUCGGUACGUACUGGUAUUUUUGGUUUCUCCCUUCUGACGAACCUUGAUGUCAUUAAUUUGGUGUCUUGGGAAAUCAGGACUGUUACUUUGAAAAAAUUAGAGUGUUUAAAGCAGGCUCACGCUUGAAUACAUUAGCAUGGAAUAAUGAAAUAGGACGUUUGAUUCUAUUUUGUUGGUUUCUAGGAUCGACGUAAUGAUUAAUAGGGAUAGUUGGGGGCAUUAGUAUUCAAUUGUCAGAGGUGAAAUUCUUGGAUUUAUUGAAGACUAACUACUGCGAAAGCAUUUGCCAAGGAUGUUUUCAUUAAUCAAGAACGAAAGUUAGGGGAUCGAAGACGAUCAGAUACCGUCGUAGUCUUAACCAUAAACUAUGCCGACUAGGGAUCGGAUGAUGUUAAUUUUUUAAUGACUCA
rnacentral:rRNA from 1 species